CGCAGCCGCGGUAAUUCCAGCUCCAAUAGCGUAUAUUAAAGUUGUUGCAGUUAAAAAGCUCGUAGUUGAAUUUCGGGAUCAAUAUGUUGGUCGUGCCUUGGUACGUACUGGCAUUAUCGAUUCCUACCUUCUGAAGAACCUCGAUGUCAUUAAUUUGGUGUCUUGGGGAAUCAGGACUGUUACUUUGAAAAAUUAGAGUGUUUAAAGCAGGCUCGCGCUUGAAUACAUUAGCAUGGAAUAAUGAAAUAGGACGUUUGAUUCUAUUUUGUUGGUUUCUAGGAUCGACGUAAUGAUUAAUAGGGAUAGUUGGGGGCAUUAGUAUUCAAUUGUCAGAGGUGAAAUUCUUGGAUUUAUUGAAGACUAACUACUGCGAAAGCAUUUGCCAAGGAUGUUUUCAUUAAUCAAGAACGAAAGUUAGGGGAUCGAAGACGAUCAGAUACCGUCGUAGUCUUAACCAUAAACUAUGCCGACUAGGGAUCGGAUGAUGUUAAUUUUUAAU
rnacentral:rRNA from 1 species